rnacentral:rRNA from 1 species
UACGUAGGGUGCGAGCGUUAAUCGGAAUUACUGGGCGUAAAGCGUGCGCAGGCGGUUGUGCAAGACAGAUGUGAAAUCCCCGGGCUCAACCUGGGAACUGCAUUGUGACUGCACGGCUGGAGUGCGGCAGAGGGGGAUGGAAUUCCGCGUGUAGCAGUGAAAUGCGUAGAUAUGCGGAGGAACACCGAUGGCGGAAGGCAAUCCCCUGGGCCUGCACUGACGCUCAUGCACGAAAGCGUGGGAGCAACAG